CCUCUCCUGCCAUUGGAGGUUACAGCCAGGAGAUGCUGUCUAUGGACCAGAAAGCAGGAUUCAUGAGCUACUCAAUCUGUUGGCACCUUCAUCUUGGACUUCUCGGCCUCCAGAACUCUGAGAAAUACAUCCCUAUUAUUCAUAAGCCACCCAGUCUAGGGUAUUUUUGUUACAGCAGACCAGACAGACUAAGACAUCCCUCCCGAGGGACCACUUUGAGCCAGCCUCACUAAACCCAGUGAUCAGAAUUUUAAAAGGAUGCUACCUCCCUCAACCUCCCGUUCUGCUCCAGGCUUGAGGGGCUGGCCUCUUCCCUGUGAUCUCACACCUGCCAGGCCGGGGCAGCCACCAGAGGGUGCUUGCUUGGAGACUGCUUGUGUUCGCAUAGUUCUGGAAAGAGGAUCCACCUCCUGUACUGCCAAGGGAAGUUGUCCCCAGACUUUCCCAGCUGCUGCUGCUCAUCCUAAAGCAUGUACCAGAAAUAAACAUCUCCCAGGCAAUUUGCAGCUGGGGGCAGAGGCUAAGUGGUGGUGGUUGCGGAAUUGGGGAGAGGUACAAGGAGUGUAGAUGUUUUAGUUGACAUUUGGGUAGCAAAUGCUUCUGUGAGCCGCCACCCCUUUUUUUAUCCUCUGCUGAGCAUUAGUGAGAAAAAUGUGGGAGAAAAAGCGGGGUGUAAGGCCUCUUAACUCCACCUCCCUCCGUGUAAGCCAAAAGUUAAGCAUCCUGUGGAGGAUUAUUGCAAGGAAAGGGACUCUAAGCUUCCUUCGUGUUUGCAGAGCUUCAGACAGGUUCUGUGAAUGGCUGGGGACCCUGACAUUGCUGAUGAGGCUGUAGGGGAUAGGGAGCAUAGUGGUUACACGUGUGUGCUCUGGGCCCAGAGAGACCCGGGUUAGAAUCCCAGCCUGGCUCUGCAUCAGCUGGGUGACCUGCCACUUACAACCAUUUCACUGUCUAUAAAGUGGAGAUGAUAAAACAAACUCCAAUAAACCACUUAACAAGUGCCAGACACAGUUCUCAGCACUUACAGAUGAGAAAACUGAGACACAAAGGGGAGCCAUCACCUGCUCAAGGACACUCAGCUGGUGAGUGGUGGAGGCUGGAGAUGGCCGUAGGCUAUCUGGCUGGACCACUCUGCCUCUUGGGUUGCCGUGAGGCAUGGAUGAAACGCAGCCUAUAAAGGGUUUGGCACAGUGCCUGCCACAUGGCAAGCUCUCAAUAAAUGUUAGUUUUUAUUAUUAACAACAUAUGAAACAGCGUAAAACAGACUAGUCAAGCUAUCCGCACCAUUUGAGGUUCUUAACAAUGCCUGACAUUUGUUUAGCCUCAUAUAUAAUUGAAAAGGCUUCUCCGAUUUGGUCUCCGAGAACUCUCCUUGAAGUCCUGCGAGGGCAGUGAGGCAGUUUCGAGCGGGCAUGAUCACUGGAUGAACAAGGACAUGGAGGCCCAAGGAAACAUCAUUAUUUUAAACUCUGGGUCUAAUCGAUUGGAGUCAUUAUGAUCUGCUUCUAUUGCAUGUUAUUUCUCCUGAUCUUCAUAUAUGAUGCCUUAUCUCCUUAUGGGUCUGGCUGUCUUUGUGCAUAAAUCAUAAAAAUAAAUUGA